rnacentral:misc_RNA from 1 species
ACCUCCCUUUCAAUUUCCGUCAAAAGCGGUUCAUAUUUGAUUUCUUAUCUGCACGUACCGACCCAUUUUUCGUGAUAAGUUGGGUAUGGUAUAGAUACCCCAAUUAGUGUUUUCGGACUUUUGUGCUUUAAGAAUUCGAAGCUUUUGAUGGACAAUCACGGUUUGUAACAAUAUUAGGCGUGAUAGCAGAAACAAUAGACACGCCCCCUUCUGUUUAUUAUGAAUUUACUCACGUGUGUUCUAAUGUGAGAAUGAAAACGGCGCUUUAUGAGUGGUUCGUUAUAUUCCUCUAUGUGUUAUAUAAAUUGACAGAACAAAUAUUUAGACUUUCAAGUCGCAUACUCCAAAUACAGCUCGGAAAUCAGCCAAAAAUAGGAGAUAUGGAGUUAGCUAAAAUUGCCAAAAAUCUUGUCAAAUGUGUCUCAACAGGUGAGAAUGUUGCUCUGGAGAGCUUCUGGCAGAAGCAGGCAUGUGUGAUCACCUUUUUGAGGCGGUUUGGAUGACCCUUCUGUCGACUGAGUGCCAAGCAGCUCAGUCUCAUCAAACCUCAGCUCGACGCCAACAAUGUCCGUCUUGUUGGUAUUGGCUUGGAGGAAGUGGGUCUGGAACAAUUCAUCCAAGGAGACUUCUUUAAUGGAGAACUUUACAUUGAUACAAAAAAGCAAUGUUACAAGAAGCUAGGAUUUAAAAGGUUAAAUGUUUUAAGUAUAUUUCCUUCAGUUCUUUCCAAGUCAUCUAGAGAAGCUUUAAACAAGGCCAAACAAGAAAAUAUAUCUGGAGAUUUUAGAGGAGAUGGUUUCCAAAAUGGUGGCACCCUUGUUGUAGCACCAGGAGGAGAAGUAUUAGUAUCAUACAAACAAGAAAAUCCCAGUGACCAUAUGGAUAUCCAGGAAAUUUUUCGAGUGCUUGGAAUAAAAGAAGAGCUCUAGCAGCAUUUUUACCAAAAAUUACAGAAAUAAUUCUGUAAAUAUUAACUGACAUACGGUAUAUUAGAUUCACAACUACUGUGAAACCAGUUUAUCAGUACGGGUAUAUUCAGAUUUUGAGGGAAAAUAUAUGCUGAUCCUGCAAUGUGACUCUUAAUUGGUACAAUUUAAACAAACAGCAAUAAAAAGCUCAACAAAGACAAUUAACAUAAGAAUCCCUCUACAGCUGAGAAAUUCUCAGGUAUUUCUUAUACGGCAUCUGAUCACUAUUGUAUAUAAAAAGUUAACAUAUUAUAGAUUCCAUUUUACACAGAGAAUAUUGUUUUUUAAAAUGUUAUAUUUUUAUAUGUGUAUACAUGUAUGUUUUCGUUUGCUGAUAGUUUGCUUUUGCUGCUGUAUUGAUAAAAUGUUCACACAUGAAUGAUACUGGUCAUAGAAAUCUUACACUGUGAUCAGUGGAAAGUAUUUGUGUGAUCUACGUGUCUUUGUAGCAUAGAGCAUUAUACAAGCAAAUAAACUACUCAAAAUUUCUCAAGAAUGCUGAUUUUUGUUGGAAAUAUGAUAGUUAACCAAAAUAGUGUGCUGAAUUUAUCUUGACAUUAAUAAAAUACUUUCUUUU